GUUUUAAUAAUUUAAAAUAAAAUAUUGGUCUUGUAAAUCAAAUUUAAGAUUAUUCUUUUAAAACA
rnacentral:tRNA from 1 species